rnacentral:rRNA from 1 species
GACGAACGCUGGCGGCGCGCCUAACACAUGCAAGUCGAACGGGGUUCUUUUGGGAAGCUUGCUCCCGGCUGAACCUAGUGGCGGACGGGUGAGUAACACGUGAGCAACCUGCCGGAGAGUGGGGGAUAACGUCUGGAAACGGACGCUAAUACCGCAUAAUAUCGAGAGAUGGCAUCAUUUUUCGAUCAAAGGAUUUAUUCGCUCUUCGAUGGGCUCGCGCCCGAUUAGAUAGUUGGUGAGGUAACGGCUCACCAAGUCUGCGAUCGGUAGCCGGACUGAGAGGUUGAUCGGCCACAUUGGGACUGAGACACGGCCCAGACUCCUACGGGAGGCAGCAGUGGGGGAUAUUGCACAAUGGGGGAAACCCUGACCCAGCGACGCCGCGUGAGGGAAGAAGGUUUUCGGAUUGUAAACCUCUGUCUUCGGGGAAGAUAAUGACGGUACCCGAGGAGGAAGCCACGGCUAACUACGUGCCAGCAGCCGCGGUAAAACGUAGGUGGCAAGCGUUGUCCGGAAUUACUGGGUGUAAAGGGAGCGCAGGUGGGCUAGCAAGUCGAAUGUGAAAUCUAUGGGCUCAACCCAUAAAUUGCGUUCGAUACUGUUAGUCUUGAGUGAAGUAGAGGCAGGCGGAAUUCCCGGUGUAGCGGUGGAAUGCGUAGAUAUCGGGAGGAACACCAGUGGCGAAGGCGGCCUGCUGGGCUUUAACUGACACUGAGGCUCGAAAGCGUGGGUAGCAAACAGGAUUAGAUACCCUGGUAGUCCACGCUGUAAACGAUGAUUACUAGUGUGGGGGGACUGACCCCUUUCGUGCCGCAGUUAACACAAUAAGUAAUCCACCUGGGGAGUACGACCCGCAAGGGUG